GUGAAGCAUCCUGUUAAGUCAGGCAACGAGCGAGACCCACGCCCACAGUUGCCAGCGUACUCUCUGGGAGUGACGGGUACACUGUGGGGGACCGCCGCUGCUAAAGCGGAGGAAGGAAUGGGCAACGGUAGGUCAGUAUGCCCCGAAUAUCCCGGGCUACACGCGAGCUACAAUGGUUGGUACAAUGGGUAUCUACCCGAAAGGGGAUGGGAAUCUCCUAAACCAAUCUUAGUUCGGAUUGAGGGCUGCAACUCGCCCUCAUGAAGCUGGAAUCCGUAGUAAUCGCGUUUCAACAGAACGCGGUGAAUACGUCCCUGCUCCUU
rnacentral:rRNA from 1 species